UCUGAACUUCCAGACCGUUCCUUUAGCUCAGGAGAGCGCCCCUCCACCCCCACCUGCUUGAAAUAGCCCAGUCUCCGCACUCUCACUGCAGUUCUGCGGGCUCCGUGGUUCCUUUCCCCAGCUCUCUUUGAAGCAAUGGUGGUGCUGAAAAAUUCACAACUCAGUUCACAGACCCAGUGCCAAAUAUAACAACUUGUUUUAGCCACUCUGCACUGAGCAUAGUGACUUGAAGGAAGAACUCACCCCAAAGAAACAAUCAGAAACAGUCCUCUCUCCCACAGAAUUACAGAAAUUG
rnacentral:lncRNA from 12 species